CAUUCUAUUAUCACUAAAGCGAUUUCAAAUCUAUUUUUUAACGUUUAACGAACAGUCGGGCUAAAAAUUGAAGCAAUAAGCAAAAGUAACAGCUCAGAGCCAAAAACCGAAAAUCAUCCCAAUCAUACCAAAAGGAGCAGAUUUCAAGACGAAGUGUUCGCUGAAACGAAUCUUGACAACGACAACAUGUAAAUUGUUUUUUCGUUUAAUUUGCUAAAGUCAACUCUUAAAGUUAGAAAGAUACAAAAUAAACUAAAUUAUAAGUAAAGAAUAUAGAGAUUUAUAGUUACACUAAGCUUAAGAAUAUACUAGCAGUAGAGUAAGUCUAGUAUUAGCUUAAAAUUAAGCAGCUAUUAUUGUAAUAUAUAGGCAAGAAUUACUACAAGUGUUGUGCCCAAUAAUCUUAGAUAAAUAUUUA